rnacentral:rRNA from 1 species
AGAGUUUGAUCAUGGCUCAGGAUGAACGCUGGCGGCGUGCUUAACACAUGCAAGUCGAACGAACCUUCGGGUUAGUGGCGGACGGGUGAGUAACGCGUGGGAAUCUGCCCUCAGGAGGGGGAUAACGGCUGGAAACGGCCGCUAAUACCCCAUAUGCCGAGAGGUGAAAUGAAUUUCGCCUGAGGAUGAGCCCGCGUCUGAUUAGCUAGUUGGUGAGGUAAGAGCUCACCAAGGCAUCGAUCAGUAGCUGGUCUGAGAGGAUGAUCAGCCACACUGGGACUGAGACACGGCCCAGACUCCUACGGGAGGCAGCAGUGGGGAAUUUUCCGCAAUGGGCGAAAGCCUGACGGAGCAACGCCGCGUGAGGGAUGAAGGCCUCUGGGCUGUAAACCUCUUUUCUCAAGGAAGAAGAUCUGACGGUACUUGAGGAAUAAGCCACGGCUAAUUCCGUGCCAGCAGCCGCGGUAAUACGGGAGUGGCAAGCGUUAUCCGGAAUUAUUGGGCGUAAAGCGUCCGCAGGCGGCCCUUCAAGUCUGCUGUUAAAACGUGGAGCUUAACUCCAUCAUGGCAGUGGAAACUGUUGGGCUUGAGUGUGGUAGGGGCAGAGGGAAUUCCCGGUGUAGCGGUGAAAUGCGUAGAUAUCGGGAAGAACACCAGUGGCGAAGGCGCUCUGCUGGGCCAUAACUGACGCUCAUGGACGAAAGCCAGGGGAGCGAAAGGGAUUAGAUACCCCUGUAGUCCUGGCCGUAAACGAUGAACGCUAGGUGUCGGGGGAAUCGACCCCCUCGGUGUCGUAGCCAACGCGUUAAGUGUUCCGCCUGGGGAGUACGCACGCAAGUGUGAAACUCAAAGGAAUUGACGGGGGCCCGCACAAGCGGUGGAGUAUGUGGUUUAAUUCGAUGCAACGCGAAGAACCUUACCAGGGUUUGACAUCCUGCGAACCUCUUGGAAACGAGAGGGUGCCUUCGGGAACGCAGUGACAGGUGGUGCAUGGCUGUCGUCAGCUCGUGUCGUGAGAUGUUGGGUUAAGUCCCGCAACGAGCGCAACCCACGUCUUUAGUUGCCAGCAUUUAGUUGGGCACUCUAGAGAGACCGCCGGUGAUAAACCGGAGGAAGGUGUGGAUGACGUCAAGUCAUCAUGCCCCUUACAUCCUGGGCUACACACGUACUACAAUGCUACGGACAAAGAGCAGUAAGUUCGCGAGGACAAGCAAAUCUCAUAAACCGUGGCUCAGUUCAGAUCGUAGGCUGCAACUCGCCUACGUGAAGGAGGAAUCGCUAGUAAUCGCAGGUCAGCAUACUGCGGUGAAUACGUUCCCGGGCCUUGUACACACCGCCCGUCACACCAUGGAAGUUGGCCACGCCCGAAGCCGUUACUCCAACCCUUGUGGAGGAGGACGUCGAAGGUGGGGCUGAUGACUGGGGUGAAGUCGUAACAAGGUAACCGUA